rnacentral:rRNA from 1 species
UACGUAGGGUGCAAGCGUUUGUCCGGAAUUAUUGGGCGUAAAGAGCUCGUAGGCGGUUUGUCGCGUCUGCUGUGAAAUCCCGAGGCUCAACCUCGGGCCUGCAGUGGGUACGGGCAGACUAGAGUGCGGUAGGGGGAGAUUGGAAUUCCUGGUGUAGCGGUGGAAUGCGCAGAUAUCAGGAGGAACACCGAUGGCGAAGGCAGAUCUCUGGGCCUGUACUGACGCUGAGGAGCGAAAGCGUGGGGGAGCGAACAGG